rnacentral:rRNA from 1 species
GACGAACGCUGGCGGCGUGCCUAAUACAUGCAAGUUGAGCGCUGAAGGUUGGUACUUGUACCAACUGGAUGAGCAGCGAACGGGUGAGUAACGCGUGGGGAAUCUGCCUUUGAGCGGGGGACAACAUUUGGAAACGAAUGCUAAUACCGCAUAAAAACUUUAAACACAAGUUUUAAGUUUGAAAGAUGCAAUUGCAUCACUCAAAGAUGAUCCCGGGUUGUAUUAGCUAGUUGGUGAGGUAAAGGCUCACCAAGGCGAUGAUACAUAGCCGACCUGAGAGGGUGAUCGGCCACAUUGGGACUGAGACACGGCCCAAACUCCUACGGGAGGCAGCAGUAGGGAAUCUUCGGCAAUGGACGAAAGUCUGACCGAGCAACGCCGCGUGAGUGAAGAAGGUUUUCGGAUCGUAAAACUCUGUUGGUAGAGAAGAACGUUGGUGAGAGUGGAAAGCUCAUCAAGUGACGGUAACUACCCAGAAAGGGACGGCUAACUACGUGCCAGCAGCCGCAGUAA